GACAAGAUGGCCGAGUGGUCUAAGGCGGCAGAUUUAAGUUCUGGAAACAAGAAAUAAAUCCAAGACUCUGCUAGUGGAAACACUGCGUGGGUUCGAACCCCACUCUUGUCA